rnacentral:rRNA from 1 species
GACGAACGCUGGCGGCGUGCUUAACACAUGCAAGUCGAACGGAAAGGCCCUGCUUUUGUGGGGUGCUCGAGUGGCGAACGGGUGAGUAACACGUGAGUAACCUGCCCUUGACUUUGGGAUAACUUCAGGAAACUGGGGCUAAUACCGGAUAGGAGCUCCUGCUGCAUGGUGGGGGUUGGAAAGUUUCGGCGGUUGUGGAUGGACUCGCGGCUUAUCAGCUUGUUGGUGGGGUAGUGGCUUACCAAGGCUUUGACGGGUAGCCGGCAUGAGAGGGUGACCGGCCACCUUGGUACUGCGAUACGGCCCAGACUCCUACGGGAGGCAGCAGUCGGGAAUAUUGCACAAUGGGCGGAAGCCUGAUGCAGCAACGCCGCGUGCGUGAUGACGGCCUUCGGGUUGUAAACCGCUUUCGCCUGUGACGAAGCGUGAGUGACGGUAAUGGGUAAAGAAGCACCGGCUAACUACGUG